UCACAUAGUGCCGCCGCUCCUCCCAUGGUCGUUUAUCGACGACCUCCUCUCGUCCACCGUAUCCUUGACGACCGAAGCACUAAAGAGGGAGAUGAACCAAACCCUCGUUUACCCCAAAAUCAUCUGAAAUGCGAUAGUUCCCCUAUUUUUAGGUUUCUUGUUCCGUGCUUAUAAAAAAACGGUGACAUAUUGCCACCAAAUUCGAAUGGCGCGAUUGGUGAGGGUAUGAUAGAUCAGCCGAAAACAGUGACGGUUCGACGGUGGUGGUUGGAUUAGGGUUUGGCUAGCGAAGAGAGUUAAUGUUGUGGGCUUAGGGUUUAGUUUGGAUAGGUUUGGGCCUAUUUAUUUUGUAACAUCGACUAUUGAAAUUUAAUAAUAUUUUGGUUUAACAAAAUAUUUUGGGCCUCGAAAUAAAAGCCCAGACGAAAUAUGGGUAUUACUAUUACAUGCCCGCUGAAACAACCAAUUGCUCUUCAUAAUGAUGUCUCAUGCCAAAAUGAUGAGGUUGCGUUGCAUGAAAAGGGGCUUAUCAUGUGUGAAUUUCCCAGCUCGCCUCAGUUAGUUGGGGUCGACAUAAGGGUAACAUCCGAGCUAGCCAACGACAUGUCAUUAGAAGGGUCGUUAGGGAUUCUAUGGAAGGUGAAGCAACAAAGGGGGUCAAUUUGGGAUUGAGCUUAUUAGACACAUAUCUUGAUAACAAUCUGUCUGAGGAAGCAGAAGCGGUGUGUGAGUGGCUUCAAUUCUAAAUGAUUUGAGUAUCCCCUGGUGUAUUGGAGGUGACUUUAAUGCAUUCCUUCAUCUCGAGGAAAAUAAAGGGUUUUCGCUGAAUUAUCACUCUUUGGCUAUUUUUAUAGAGUUCAUCCAUGAGGCUGAGUUAAUUGAUCUCCCCCUAUAUGGUGGUUCGUUCACUUGGAGUAAUAACAGGGGCCCUUCCACGUUUGUUCACCUUGAUAGGUUCCUCUUGUCACCAUCCUUCUUCCAAGCUUUUUCGUUAGUGUCGCAACGUUUAUCAGACGAAUCUAUUUCAGAUCAUCAUACCAUAGUAUUAUGUGAAGAAAACCACA